rnacentral:rRNA from 1 species
CCUACGGGAGGCAGCAGUGAGGAAUAUUGCCCAAUGGACGCAAGUCUGAGGCAGCAACGCCGCGUGGGCGACGAAGGCCUUCGGGUUGUAAAGCCCUUUUCUGGGGGACGAGAAAGGACGGUACCUCAGGAAUAAGUCACGGCUAACUACGUGCCAGCAGCCGCGGUAAUACGUAGGUGGCUAGCGUUAUCCGGAUUCACUGGGCGUAAAGCGCGUGCAGGCGGUUCCGUAAGUCGGACGUGAAAGCUCCUGGCUUAACUGGGAGAGGUCGUUCGAUACUGCGGGGCUUGAGGUCGGGAGAGGGACGUGGAAUUCCCGGUGUAGUGGUGGAAUGCGUAGAUAUCGGGAGGAACACCAGUGGCGAAGGCGGCGUCCUGGCCCGCACCUGACGCUAAGACGCGAAAGCGUGGGUAGCGAACGGGAUUAGAUACCCCGGUAGUCCACGCUGUAAACGAUGAGUGCUAAGUGUUAGAGGGUUUCCGCCCUUUAGUGCUGCAGCAAACGCAUUAAGCACUCCGCCUGGGGAGUACGGCCGCAAGGCUGAAACUCAAAGGAAUUGACGG